rnacentral:rRNA from 1 species
GACGAACGCUGGCGGCGUGCCUAAUACAUGCAAGUAGAGCGCACAGUUUAUACCGUAGCUUGCUACACCAUAGACUGUGAGUUGCGAACGGGUGAGUAACGCGUAGGUAACCUGCCUGGUAGCGGGGGAUAACUAUUGGAAACGAUAGCUAAUACCGCAUAAUAUUGAUUAUUGCAUGAUAAUUGAUUGAAAAAUGCUAUUGCAUCACUACCAGAUGGACCUGCGUUGUAUUAGCUAGUAGGUGAGGUAACGGCUCACCUAGGCGACGAUACAUAGCCGACCUGAGAGGGUGAUCGGCCACACUGGGACUGAGACACGGCCCAGACUCCUACGGGAGGCAGCAGUAGGGAAUCUUCCGCAAUGGACGAAAGUCUGGCCGAGCAACGCCGCGGGAGUGAAGAAGGUUUUCGGAUCGUAAAGCUCUGUUGUAAGAGAAGAACGGGUGUGAGAGUGGAAAGUUCACACUGUGACGGUAUCUUACCAGAAAGGGACGGCUAACUACGUG